GGCAGGGCGAACACACAACAGGCCUACUGUACUGGAGAAACGCAGCCAUAUUUUUCCUCACAUUUUGACACAUGUAUCCUAUUCCACGGAUUUUGAAGGAACCGGUGGGUUGUGAGCUCUCCAUCUUCAGAUACACGGUGGUCCCGAUCCGCUUAGACAUGCCCGUGCUCUCGAGAAGUGGGGUGAUGACAUGAAAUCCAUUUUGCUUUGACAUUUUUCUCAAAAUUUUCUGAAAUGCAGGAAAGGUGGACAACAAUAUCCGGUCACGUUCAGUUCAGGGUUUUAGGAGUCCUGUGGAUCCAACUUCAGUGACUACUAGGAUAUGGUAAGCGUACUGCUUUUUAAGAUGAAUAAUAGGUGGGGCUUAAAUCCACAUUUUAUGCAAUUUGUUUGUUAGUACCUAUGAGGUAAGACAUUAGAGUAUGUAUAGGACUUGCUUCAUCGGUACUGACAAACUAAGUGCAAGCUAGUGUAGAUUGAUUAUCUCAGCGUUUGUGAUCAAAUCAAUUCACAAUGUCUUUAUAUAUUAUUUAGCUACAAUUGAAAAUAAAACAUGCUUUUAAAACUGUUUUCAAAUGGCAAACAGUUUGCAUUCUGUUUUAUGCAUUCUGAUCAAAAAUUUCUUCUUGAUAUCAUGCCCAAAAA